rnacentral:rRNA from 1 species
ACUGCAUGACACAUGAACAUCGACAUUUCGAACGCACAUUGCGGUCCUCGGAUUCUGUUCCCGGACCACUCCUGGCUGAGGGUCGUAUCU